rnacentral:rRNA from 5 species
UAAAGACUCUCGGCAACGGAUAUCUCGGCUCUUGCAUCGAUGAAGAACGUAGCGAAAUGCGAUACUUGGUGUGAAUUGCAGAAUCCCGUGAACCAUCGAGUCUUUGAACGCAAGUUGCGCCCGAAGCCAAUAGGCCGAGGGCACGCCUGCCUGGGUGUUGCAG